rnacentral:rRNA from 1 species
UCGACCUGAGCUCAGGCAAGAUUACCCGCUGAACUUAAGCAUAUCAAUAAGCGGAGGAAAGAAACUAACCAGGAUUCC